GUAAAGACAAAGAGAGAAUAGAAUACCAAGUGACCAACCAAUGAAUCAUGAAGCUGGUUGAGAGAACCCCAAGAGUGUGUAAAGCUGUCGUCAAGGCAAAGGGAGGCUCCUUUGAAACAUAUAAAAUACUUUUUGGGGGUUACUAAAUGAUUCCAUGUGUGUUAUUUCAUAGAUAGGUGCAGUGUAAUGUGUUGUUUUACAGGGUCAGUCAUAGUAGUAUGAUAGGUGUUGUUUUACAGGGUCAGUCAUAGUAGUAUGAUAGGUGUUGUUGUACAGGGUCAGUCAUAGUAGUAUGAUAGGUGUUGUUUUACAGGGUCAGUCAUAGUAGUAUGAUAGGUGUUGUUUUACAGGGUCAGUCAUAGUAGUAUGAUAGGUGUUGUUUUACAGGGUCAGUCAUAGUAGUAUGAUAGGUGUUGUUUUACAGGGUCAGUCAUAGUAGUAUGAUAGGUGUUGUUUUACAGGGUCAGUCAUAGUAGUAUGAUAGGUGUUGUUUUACAGGGUCAGUCAUAGUAGUAUGAUAGGUGUUGUUUUACAGGGUCAGUCAUAGUAGUAUGAUAGGUGUUGUUUUACAGGGUCAGUCAGUAGUAUGAUAGGUGUUGUUUUACAGGGUCAGUCAUAGUAGUAUGAUAGGUGUUGUUUUACAGGGUCAGUCAUAGUAGUAUGAUAGGUGUUGUUUUACAGGGUCAGUCAUAGUAGUAUGAUAGGUGUUGUUUUACAGGGUCAGUCAUAGUAGUAUGAUAGGUGUUGUUUUACAGGGUCAGUCAGUAGUAUGAUAGGUGUUGUUUUACAGGGUCAGUCAUAGUAGUAUGAUAGGUGUUGUUUUACAGGGUCAGUCAUAGUAGUAUGAUAGGUGUUGUUUUACAGGGUCAGUCAGUAGUAUGAUAGGUGUUGUUUUACAGGGUCAGUCAUAGUAGUAUGAUAGGUGUUGUUGUACAGGGUCAGUCAUAGUAGUAUGAUAGGUGUUGUUUUACAGGGUCAGUCAUAGUAGUAUGAUAGGUGUUGUUGUACAGGGUCAGUCAUAGUAGUAUGAUAGGUGUUGUUGUACAGGGUCAGUCAUAGUAGUAUGAUAGGUGUUGUUGUACAGGGUCAGUCAUAGUAGUAUGAUAGGUGUUGUUUUAUAGGGUCAGUCAUAGUAGUAUGAUAGGUGUUGUUUUACAGGGUCAGUCAUAGUAGUAUGAUAGGUGUUGUUUUACAGGGUCAGUCAUAGUAGUAUGAUAGGUGUUGUUUUACAGGGUCAGACAUAGUAGUAUGAUAGGUGUUGUUUUACAGGGUCAGACAUAGUGGUACAAAACACAUUUUGUCAUAAGCAUCGUCACAUAUAAAUGUUUCCAUAAUUUCCAUCUAUUACUCUGAAUCGUUCUCAUGGACGAUUAAAUUAGUACAUUUUCAAAAUUGGAAACAUAUGGCCGCCUUUAAUUGGCCAAUUCCUCUCGCCAGUGUAAUGUAAAACCCAAUGGAAAGACAAACGCUAUUAAGACAGACAGACAGACAGACAGACAGACAGACAGACAGACAGACAGACAUCCCUUCUAUCCUCUACUGAAGCACUACGAUCCUAACUACUACCGUAUCUCAGGAGACUACAUCUCCUCAUCAUCCCUCCUCUUCAUCAUCUCCUGUCCUCUACAUUGUAGGAAACACUACGGUCCUAACUACUACCGUAUCUCAGGAGACUACAUCUCCUCAU